UGGGGAAUUUUGGACAAUGGGCGAAAGCCUGAUCCAGCAAUGCCGCGUGUGUGAAGAAGGCCUUCGGGUUGUAAAGCACUUUUGUCCGGAAAGAAAUCCUUGGCUCUAAUACAGUCGGGGGAUGACGGUACCGGAAGAAUAAGCACCGGCUAACUACGUGCCAGCAGCCGCGGUAAUACGUAGGGUGCAAGCGUUAAUCGGAAUUACUGGGCGUAAAGCGUGCGCAGGCGGUUUGCUAAGACCGAUGUGAAAUCCCCGGGCUCAACCUGGGAACUGCAUUGGUGACUGGCAGGCUAGAGUAUGGCAGAGGGGGUAGAAUUCCACGUGUAGCAGUGAAAUGCGUAGAGAUGUGGAGGAAUACCGAUGGCGAAGGCAGCCCCCUGGGCCAAUACUGACGUUCAUGCACGAAAGCGUGGGGAGCAAACAGGAUUAGAUACCCUGGUAGUCCACGCCCUAAACGAUGUCAACUAGUUGUUGGGGAUUCAUUUCCUUAGUAACGUAGCUAACGCGUGAAGUUGACCGCCUGGGGAGUACGGUCGCAAGAUUAAAACUCAAAGGAAUUGACGGGGUCAUAGCUG
rnacentral:rRNA from 1 species